ensembl:ncRNA C49A1.11 ncRNA
AAGCUAUCAAAAAGUUGCCAACUAACAAAAUAUUCAUCACAAAAUUUCAAACAUUUUUGUAGUUAAAAAUUUUUUGAUA